rnacentral:rRNA from 1 species
UACGUAGGGGGGCAAGCGUUGUCCGGAUUUAUUGGGCGUAAAGCGCUCGCAGGUGGUUCGAUGCGUCGUGCGUGAAAGACCCCGGCUCAACUGGGGAGGGUCGUGUGAUACGGUCGAACUGGAGGCCAGUAGGGGGAUGCGGAAUUCCCGGUGUAGUGGUGGAAUGCGCAGAUAUCAGGAGGAACACCGAUGGCGAAGGCAGAUCUCUGGGCCGUAACUGACGCUGAGGAGCGAAAGCAUGGGGAGCGAACAGG